GUCCACUAAAUACCUACUACAAGAAGGGAUCUACAAGCCUAUAUGGACGGAUUUAAGGAAACGCAAGCCCAGGAUUACUAGAAACCAGCUAAGUUCCCAAUCCACUCCCUUUCUUACAUUAGUGCCUACUUAGGUAUCAUACCUACUAUAGAAACUAGAUUACAAACUAAAUCUUAACUUAACUUCAUAACAAACAGUGUAUUUAAUAUAAAUCCUCAUAAGGCGCAGCUAUAGAUAUCUACUUAGCCAUCGUUAUCUAGUGCCAGCUGCAGCUAACGGUAAAAAAUCACAUGUUUACGCCGUCAGUACUAGUUGCCGGCUUAUCGAAAUAACAAGUAAAUUAAAUCAAAAUCAGUGCCUAUUGUGAUUAAAGUGCAGUUAUCUCAAUAUUUAGUGCAUAAAAUAAGUACAUUACGUGUUUUUUCAACAGAUAUACUAGUACACAAAUAUAUUAGGACCUAACGAGUACAUAGUGCUAAUUAUCUUAACUAAAACUACGAAUUACAAAUCGAAUGUGCCCAUGAAGAAGCUGCCGAGCAAUACUCCCAGCGGAAUACUUUCGAGGCAACGUACUACAGCAGCAUCGCUCGCGCCCAGCUCCUGCUGAGCGAGGCGGAGGGUCCUGCAGGCAGGAGUAGUAAGUCACCACCAGCCGAUAUGCAGGUGACGGAUAUGAAGCGCACAAAGCUCGGACCAAAAUGACUUAUUGCCACUCACACCUGGCCACUUCAUCAUCGGGCGAAGUAUGACGGCGAUCCCAGAAGAAGACCUUACUUCACGCACCAGAUUAGUGGACAGAUACCAGAAGAUUCAACAGCUUCGCCAGCACUUCUGGGCACGUUGGCAACUAGAAUAUAUAAGUGAGCUUCAGAUCCGAACUAAAUGGAGGCAGUCGACGAACGGGCAACUAGAGAUUGGGACCCUCGUCGUUAUCAAAGAUAAGCAACAACCUCCAAUAAAAUGGCUCCUGGGGAGAAUACAACGAGUCUUCCCAGGGCGCGACGGCGUUACCAGAGUCGCAGAGAUUCAAACUGCCACUGGAUUGCUGCGCAGAGACUUUACCAAGAUCUGCCCCUUACCCGUGGACACUACAGUUGAAGACGACACUUCAAGGUCCGCCGGCAUGUCGCGUACCACUCCAACAGGGCGACCGCGGGGUGAGGUGACAGCGGGGAGCAGCCAUCUUCGGGAUUGACUUACUUACUAGCCACCGCGGCCAUGACUCGGCUCUUUACAUUUUUGUAUAUUUUUUAUAAUUAAAAUCAUAGUAACAAUU